ACCUGGCUGGCUCAGUUGGUAGAGCCUAGGACUCUUGAUCUUGGGCUCGUGAGUUCAAGUCCCACUGUGGGUG
rnacentral:tRNA from 1 species